rnacentral:rRNA from 1 species
GAGUACUGCAGGGGGAGACUGGAAUUCCUGGUGUAGCGGUGAAAUGCGCAGUAUAUCAGGUAGGAACACCGGUGGCGAAGGCGGGUCUCUGGGCAGUAACUGACGCUGAGGAACGAAAGCGUGGGUAGCGAACAGGAUUAGAUACCCUGGUAGUCCACGCCGUAAACGGUGGGCGCUAGGUGUGGGUUCCUUCCACGGAAUCCGUGCCGUAGCUAACGCAUUAAGCGCCCCGCCUGGGGAGUACGGCCGCAAGGCUAAAACUCAAAGGAAUUGACGGGGGCCCGCACAAGCGGCGGAGCAUG